AAGGAGUCUAGCAUGUUUGCGAGUGUUUGGGUGGUAAGCCCGAACGCGUAAUUAAAGUGAAUGCAGGUGGGAUCCGCAAGGAGCACCAUCGACCGAUCUGGAUCUUUUGUGAUGGAUUUGAGUAAGAGCACAUAUGUUGGGACCCGAAAGAUGGUGAACUAUGCCUGAAUAGGGCGAAGCCAGAGGAAACUCUGGUGGAGGCUCGUAGCGACUCUGACGUGCAAAUCGAUCGUCAAACUUGGGUAUAGGGGCGAAAGACUAAUCGAACCAUCUAGCAGCUGGUUCCUGC
rnacentral:misc_RNA from 1 species